rnacentral:misc_RNA from 1 species
GAUGAAGAACGCAGCGAAAUGCGAUACGUAAUGUGAAUUGCAGAAUUCAGUGAAUCAUCGAGUCUUUGAACGCACAUUGCGCCCCCUGGUAUUCCGGGGGGCAUGCCUGUCCGAGCGUCAUUGCUGCCCUCAAGCACGGCUUGUGUGUUGGGCCUCCGUCCUCCUCCCGGGGGACGGGCCCGAAAGGCAGCGGCGGCACCGCGUCCGGGCCUCGAGCGUAUGGGGCUUCGUCACCCGCUCUUGUAGGCCCGGCCGGCGCUUGCCGACACAUCAAUCUUUUUUCCAGGUUGACCUCGGAUCAGGUAGGGAUACCCGCUGAACUUAAGAAUAUCAAUAAGCGGAGGA